GACGAACGCUGGCGGCGUGCUUAACACAUGCAAGUCGAACGGUAAGGGCCUGUUUUUGUGGGGUGCUCGAGUGGCGAACAGGUGAGUAUCACGUGUGUAACCUGCCCUUGUCUUUGGGAUAACUUCAUGGAACUGGGGUUAUUACCGGAUAUGAGAUCCUGCUACACGGUGGGGGUUGUAAAGAUUCGGCGGUUGGGGAUGGACUCGCGGUUUAUCAGCUUGUUGGUGGGGUAGUGGCUUACCAAGGCUUUGAGGGGUAGCCGGCCUGAGACGGUGACAGGCCACAUUGGGACUGAGGUACGGGCCAGACUCCUACGGGAGCAAGCAGUGGGAAAUAGUGCACGAUGGGCGGAAGCCGGAAGCAGCAACUCCGCGUGCGAGAUGACGGCCGGCGGGGAGGAAACCGCGUGCGCCUGUGACGAAGCGUGAGUGACGGUAAUGGGUAAAGAAGCACCGGCUAACUACGUG
rnacentral:rRNA from 1 species